rnacentral:rRNA from 1 species
UACGGGGGGGGGCAAGCGUUGUUCGGAAUUACUGGGCGUAAAGGGCUCGUAGGCGGCCAACUAAGUCGGACGUGAAAUCCCCAGGCUCAACCUGGGAACUGCGUCCGAUACUGGAUGGCUUGAAUUCGGGAGAGGGAUGCAGAAUUCCAGGUGUAGCGGUGAAAUGCGUAGAUAUCUGGAGGAACACCGGUGGCGAAGGCGGCAUCCUGGACCGGAACUGACGCUGAGGAGCGAAAGCGUGGGGAGCGAACAGG